rnacentral:rRNA from 1 species
AUCUCCCUACGGGAGGCAGCAGUGAGGAAUAUUGGUCAAUGGGCGGAAGCCUGAACCAGCCAAGUCGCGUGAGGGAAUAAGGCGCUACGGGUCGUAAACCUCUUUUGCCGGGGAGCAAGGGCCGGGACGCGUCCCGGCCCGGAGAGUACCCGGAGAAAAAGCAUCGGCUAACACCGUGCCAGCAGCCGCGGUAAUACGGAGGAUGCGAGCGUUAUCCGGAUUUAUUGGGUUUAAAGGGUGCGUAGGCGGGCUUUUAAGUCAGCGGUAAAAUUGCGGGGCUCAACCCCGUCGAGCCGUUGAAACUG